UUUGCGAAACAGGUGUCUAGUGGCCCCUAGGUCGGUGUAAGGCUACAAGAUCCUAUUUUCUUCAUUCUAAUUCCUUUCCAGUUUGUUCAAACCCACCAAAAUCAGAUAGUUAUACCCUUAAUCACUCAUAUACAUUGAUAAUUUCAUUUUAUAUCUUUAACGACAGUUGCUCUACGUCACGAGCUUGACAUUUUGGUAUAGUUUUCUUUGUGGAUUGUGUGACGUACCUCCGUGGUGGUUGUUCCAGCAUAGGUCUUUUUGUGUUUAAACGAUUGAUCUGCAUUUCGAUCUUAAUAUCAAGUUUCAAGGGGGUUUCCGAUAUCAGAAGUUUAUUAGACACUGGAAUUCAUCAAAAAAGGUGUUAUAUUAUUGCUGUAGCUGCUCAUCUAAUGGGAAUUUCAGAACCAAAUUCUAAACCUAAUCUAGUCGAAGGAGGAUUGGUGGACCAAAAUGAACUGGGAGUAUUUAAUGUUGGUACCAGAACAUCUCAUAACCUAACAAUUGAGAAGAUUCAAGCAGAGUUGAGCAACUGCAAGAUUACACUGCUUCUUUAAUGAGCCUAUAUGAAGUUCUUUGAUUAUAAAUUACCUCGUCUAUACUUAUGGUGUGAUUUCCUUUUCUUGGCAAACCUAAUUAUGAUUGGCUAGAAGAAAACAGAGAAAUAUUAGAAUAUCUAGAGAAAGUAUGAAAGGAAGUUUAGCUCUUGUUAGAUGUUCAUAUAUCUUUUUCUUGUAUAUUUGACAUGACUCAAUUCUUUUCAUUAUAGUGCUCAGUCCACCUCAA